GUUAGGGUAUCCAAGUUCGGUUAAAGGGAAAAGGCUGUAAACCUUUUGCUACAAUGCUUCACAGGUUCGAAUCCUGUCCCUACCA
rnacentral:tRNA from 2 species